rnacentral:rRNA from 1 species
GAUGAACGCUGGCGGCGUGCCUAAUACAUGCAAGUCGAGCGAACAGAUGAGGAGCUUGCUCCUCUGACGUUAGCGGCGGACGGGUGAGUAACACGUGGAUAACCCACCUAUAAGACUGGGAUAACUUCGGGAAACCGGAGCUAAUACCGGAUAAUAUAUUGAACCGCAUGGUUCAAUAGUGAAAGACGGUUUUGCUGUCACUUAUAGAUGGAUCCGCGCCGCAUUAGCUAGUUGGUAAGGUAACGGCUUACCAAAGCAACGAUGCGUAGCCGACCUGAGAGGGUGAUCGUCCACACGGGAACUGGAACGCGGUCCAGGCUCCUGCGGGAGGCAGCAGAAGGGAAUCUUCCGCAAUGGGCGAGAACCUGACGGAGCAGCGCCACGUGAGUGAUGAAGAUCUUCGGAUCGUAAAACUCUGUUAUUAGGGAAGAACAAAUUUGUAAGUAACUAUGUACGUCUUGACGGUACCUGAUCAGAAAGCCACGGCUAACUACGUG